ACUGAAGUCAUCAUCCCUCUCUCUGUUUCUGGCUUUGCUCCUAUUUUGUGAUAAAUACAAAGGCAAGAAAAGCAAUGCCUUCAUCACUUUGUCCAAAACACAAGUCCAAUCAAGCUAUGGAGCAAAGCUUGAAGGCCAAGCCGCCAAGCCUUCCAAAUCCCACUCAGAAUUAAAGUCUCCCAAGCUAGGAUGAUCAUAUCAUAUGAAGCCAUGAUGCUGAUGCAUACAAAUAGUAUACAAUUGGAAAAAAGUCUAGUAUAUGUAUUUGCCUAAACUUGUUUAUUUUACUCAACAUGUGAUUUAGUUCUCUUGUUCUUUACUACGUAGUACUUGUUUACUAAUGUGAUCGUGUUUGAAUUUGUUUUUA